rnacentral:misc_RNA from 1 species
CUUCUUCUUCUUCUUCUUCUUCUUCUUGAUAGGCUUCAGUUUCAGAUUGUGGGUCAUCUUGAGCCGUUACGUUAUCAUCUUGGGCUACUUCAAAGCUUUCAAAGGCGGCGAAAGCAGGGUGAAAAUGAUGGGGGAAGAGGAGAGAAAGAGGAUUGCGGAAAUGGAUGUUGAGUUUGAAGAGUUUUAAGGGUUUAAAGGGCUUUGAUAAGUAGUGGGUAGGGAGUGGAAGUGGAGAAGAAGUGAACGAGAGGUUGGAGAUCUUGGUGUGAAGUGAAGAAGAAGAAACAGUGGAGGUUGCCAUGGAAAGAGCUGACAUUUCUGCCGGAAAGAUAUUGUGGGUUGGAAAAAAAAAUAGAGAAGGAAAUGUUAAGAGAGGAAAUGAGUGGUGGAUAAGGUUCUUAAUUGGUGCAGGUGUAAGAGUUUCUG